CAGCACCUCAAGUGGUCAGGAUGAUUAUUGGGCCUAAAGCAUCCGUAGCCGGCUCUGUAAGUUUUCGGUUAAAUCUGUACGCUCAACGUACAGGCUGCCGGGAAUACUGCAGAGCUAGGGAGUGGGAGAGGUAGACGGUACUCGGUAGGAAGGGGUAAAAUCCUUUGAUCUAUUGAUGACCACCUGUGGCGAAGGCGGUCUACCAGAACACGUCCGACGGUGAGGGAUGAAAGCUGGGGGAGCAAACCGGAUUAGAGACCCGCGUAGUCC
rnacentral:rRNA from 1 species